GUGAACGCUGGCGGUAGGCCUAACACAUGCAAGUCGAACGGCAGCACCGUAAGAGCUUGCUCUUACGGGUGGCGAGUGGCGGACGGGUGAGGAAUACAUCGGAAUCUACUUUUUCGUGGGGGAUAACGUAGGGAAACUUACGCUAAUACCGCAUACGACCUACGGGUGAAAGCAGGGGAUCUUCGGACCUUGCGCGAUUGAAUGAGCCGAUGUCGGAUUAGCUAGUUGGCGGGGUAAAGGCCCACCAAGGCGACGAUCCGUAGCUGGUCUGAGAGGAUGAUCAGCCACACUGGAACUGAGACACGGUCCAGACUCCUACGGGAGGCAGCAGUGGGGAAUAUUGGACAAAGGGCGCAAGCCUGAUCCAGCCAUACCGCGUGGGUGAAGAAGGCCUUCGGGUUGUAAAGCCCUUUUGUUGGGAAAGAAAAGCAGCAGGUUAAUACCCCGCUGUUCUGACGGUACCCAAAGAAUAAGCACCGGCUAACUUCGUG
rnacentral:rRNA from 1 species